CUCUAGCCCCGAUAGUAGUGAAAAUCCUUUUUUGGGUUUUUCUCCCAAAAAAGAUUGUAACGGAUAGCGGGAAUAGCU
rnacentral:sRNA from 1 species